rnacentral:miRNA from 7 species
AAGGUUACUUGUUAGUUCAGG